UGGGGAAUUUUGCACAAUGGGGGAAACCCUGAUGCAGCGACGCCGCGUGAUUUAGAAGGCCUUCGGGUUGUAAAAAUCUUUUCUAUGGGAAGAAAAUGACAGUACCAUAGGAAUAACGACCGGCUAAUUACGUGCCAGCAGCCGCGGUAAUACGUAAGGUCCGAGCGUUGUCCGGAAUCAUUGGGCGUAAAGGGUACGUAGGCGGGUAAGCAAGUUAGAAGUGAAAUCCUAUAGCUCAACUAUAGUAAGCUUUUAAAACUGCUCAUCUUGAGGUAUGGAAGGGAAAGUGGAAUUCCUAGUGUAGCGGUGAAAUGCGCAGAUAUUAGGAGGAAUACCGGUGGCGAAGGCGGCAUUCUGGCCAUAACCUGACGCUGAGGUACGAAAGCGUGGGUAGCAAACAGG
rnacentral:rRNA from 1 species